rnacentral:rRNA from 1 species
GACGAACGCUGGCGGCGUGCUUAACACAUGCAAGUCGAACGGAAAGGCCCUGCUUUUGUGGGGUGCUCGAGUGGCGAACGGGUGAGUAACACGUGAGUAACCUGCCCUUGACUUUGGGAUAACUUCAGGAAACUGGGGCUAAUACCGGAUAGGAGCUCCUGCUGCAUGGUGGGGGCUGGAAAGUUUCGGCGGUUGGGGAUGGACUCGCGGCUUAUCAGCUUGUUGGUGGGGUAGUGGCUUACCAAGGCUUUGACGGGUAGCCGGCCUGAGAGGGUGACCGGCCAAAUUGGGACUGAGAUACGGCCCAGGCUCCUAGGGGGGGCAGCAGGGGGGAAUAUUGCCCAAGGGGCGGAAGCCGGAUGCAGCAACGCCGCGGGGGGGAUGACGGCCUUCGGGUUGUAAACCGCUUUCGCCUGUGACGAAGGGGGGGGGGCGGUAAGGGGUAAAGAAGCACCGGCUAACUACGU